rnacentral:rRNA from 1 species
GAGUUUGAUUCUGGCUCAGGACGAACGCUGGCGGCGUGCCUAAUACAUGCAAGUAGAACGCUGAAGGAGGAGCUUGCUCUUCUGGAUGAGUUGCGAACGGGUGAGUAACGCGUAGGUAACCUGCCUGGUAGUGGGGGAUAACUAUUGGAAACGAUAGCUAAUACCGCAUAAUAACAGUUGUUGCAUGACAACUGUUUGAAAGGUGCAAUUGCAUCACUACCAGAUGGACCUGCGUUGUAUUAGCUAGUUGGUGGGGUAACGGCUCACCAAGGCGACGAUACAUAGCCGACCUGAGAGGGUGAUCGGCCACACUGGGACUGAGACACGGCCCAGACUCCUACGGGAGGCAGCAGUAGGGAAUCUUCGGCAAUGGACGAAAGUCUGACCGAGCAACGCCGCGUGAGUGAAGAAGGUUUUCGGAUCGUAAAGCUCUGUUGUAAGAGAAGAACGAGUGUGAGAGUGGAAAGU